rnacentral:rRNA from 1 species
AGAGUUUGAUCCUGGCUCAGGAUGAACGCUAGCUACAGGCUUAACACAUGCAAGUCGAGGGGAAACGACAUCGAAAGCUUGCUUUUGAUGGGCGUCGACCGGCGCACGGGUGAGUAACGCGUAUCCAACCUGCCCACCACUUGGGGAUAACCUUGCGAAAGUAAGACUAAUACCCAAUGACGUCUCUAGAAGACAUCUGAAGGAGAUUAAAGAUUUAUCGGUGAUGGAUGGGGAUGCGUCUGAUUAGCUUGUUGGCGGGGUAACGGCCACCAAGGCGACGAUCAGUAGGGGUUCUGAGAGGAAGGUCCCCCACAUUGGAACUGAGACACGGUCCAAACGUCCUACGGGAGGGCAA